rnacentral:rRNA from 1 species
AUUGAACGCUGGCGGCAUGCCUUACACAUGCAAGUCGAACGGCAGCAUGAUCUAGCUUGCUAGAUUGAUGGCGAGUGGCGAACGGGUGAGUAAUACAUCGGAACGUGCCCUGUAGUGGGGGAUAACUAGUCGAAAGAUUAGCUAAUACCGCAUACGACCUGAGGGUGAAAGUGGGGGACCGCAAGGCCUCAUGCUAUAGGAGCGGCCGAUGUCUGAUUAGCUAGUUGGUGAGGUAAAGGCUCACCAAGGCGACGAUCAGUUGCUGGUCUGAGAGGACGAUCAGCCACACUGGGACUGAGACACGGCCCAGACUCCUACGGGAGGCAGCAGUGGGGAAUUUUGGACAAUGGGCGAAAGCCUGAUCCAGCAAUGCCGCGUGUGUGAAGAAGGCCUUCGGGUUGUAAAGCACUUUUGUCCGGAAAGAAAUGGCUCUGGUUAAUACCUGGGGUCGAUGACGGUACCGGAAGAAUAAGGACCGGCUAACUACGUG